rnacentral:rRNA from 1 species
UACGUAGGGUGCGAGCGUUGUCCGGAAUUAUUGGGCGUAAAGAGCUCGUAGGCGGUUUGUUGCGUCUAUCGUGAAAACCUGCAGCUUAACUGUGGGCUUGCGGUGGAUACGGGCAGACUUGAGUUCGGUAGGGGAGACUGGAAUUCCUGGUGUAGCGGUGAAAUGCGCAGAUAUCAGGAGGAACACCGGUGGCGAAGGCGGCUCACUGGUCCAUUACUGACGCUGAGGUGCGAAAGCGUGGGGAGCAAACAGG